rnacentral:rRNA from 1 species
CAGUAGCCACGGGAAUACGUAGGGCGCAAGCGUUGUCCGGAAUUAUUGGGCGUAAAGAGCUCGUAGGCGGUCUGUCGCGUCUGGUGUGAAAUCCCGAGGCUCAACCUCGGGCUUGCAUCGGGUACGGGCAGACUAGAGUGCGGUAGGGGAGACUGGAAUUCCUGGUGUAGCGGUGGAAUGCGCAGAUAUCAGGAGGAACACCGAUGGCGAAGGCAGGUCUCUGGGCCGCAACUGACGCUGAGGAGCGAAAGCAUGGGGAGCGAACAGGAUUAGAGACCCGCGUAUCCCUGUCUCUUAUACA